rnacentral:rRNA from 1 species
CGUUUAGGGGUAAACCUGAGAAACCCGAAAGGUCGAAGGGAGAAAUUCAUUCGCGUUUCGUCACGAGCGCCGGUCGGUCGUGUGACGGCGAACGUUCGCGUUCGCCGCACCCUCCGAUCGUGCGAUCUCGAGGCGAACGCGUGCACUUUUCUCCUGGUAGGACGUCGCGAUCCGUCGGGCGUCGGUCUACGGUUCGCGGUGGAGUCCGUCGAUCGCGUUCGCGCGCGUAUCGACGAACCCGUGAUAUUUCCCGGCCGACACGCUCGACGGUAUACCGAUGGUUCAGGGCCGCUGCUCUAAGUAGCGUCCGGCUCGCGGCAAGAGCGUUAGAUGUGUCGGUGAUCGGACCCGGUGCCGGUCCCGGCCUCUGACGACUGUUGGCCGCGAAGUUCUCGGACAGACCUUCGGACCGAUCGGCGACGCUAUAGCUUUGGGUACUUUCAGGACCCGUCUUGAAACACGGACCAAGGAGUCUAGCAUGUGCGCGAGUCAUUGGGAAUCGCAAAACCUAAAGGCGUAAUGAAAGUAAAGAUCUUCCUCGCGAAGAUCGAGGGAAGACGGGUGUUUCGCCCUCAAAAGCGACCGCCUCGCACUCCCGGGGCGUCUCGUUCUCAUCGCGAGAAGAGGCGCACCAAAAGCGUACACGCUGGGACCCGAAAGAUGGUGAACUAUGCCUGGU